rnacentral:rRNA from 1 species
CCUACGGGUGGCAGCAGUGGGGGAUAUUGGACAAUGGGGGGAACCCUGAUCCAGCGACGCCGCGUGAGUGAAGAAGUAUUUCGGUAUGUAAAGCUCUGUCAGCAGGGAAGAAAGCAAUGACGGUACCGGACCAAGCAGCCCCGGCUAACUACGUGCCAGCAGCCGCGGUAAUACGUAGGGGGCCAGCGUCAUCCGGAAUUACUGGGUGUAAAGGGAGCGUAGACGGCUGUGCAAGGCUGGAGUGAAAGGCGGGGGCCCAACCCCCGGACUGCUCUGGAAACUGUAUGGCUGGAGUGCAGGAGAGGUAAGCGGAAUUCCUAGUGUAGCGGUGAAAUGCGUAGAUAUUAGGAGGAACACCAGUGGCGAAGGCGGCUUACUGGACUGUAACUGACGUUGAGGCUCGAAAGCGUGGGGAGCAAACAGGAUUAGAUACCCGAGUAGUC